rnacentral:rRNA from 1 species
UAAUACCGUAUAUGUCUUUGGAUGAAAGAUUUAUCGCCUUUAGAGCGGCCCGCGUCUGAUUAGCUUGUUGGUGGGGUAAUGGCCCACCAAGGCGACGAUCAGUAGCUGGUCUGAGAGGAUGACCAGCCACAUUGGGACUGAGACACGGCCCAAACUCCUACGGGAGGCAGCAGUGGGGAAUCUUGCGCAAUGGGCGAAAGCCUGACGCAGCCAUGCCGCGUGGAUGAUGAAGGUCUUAGGAUUGUAAAAUCCUUUCACCGGUGAAGAUAAUGACUGUAGCCGGAGAAGAAGCCCCGGCUAACUUCGUGCCAGCAGCCGCGGUAAUACGAAGGGGGCUAGCGUUGCUCGGAAUUACUGGGCGUAAAGGGAGCGUAGGCGGACAUUUAAGUCAGGGGUGAAAUCCCGAGGCUCAACCUCGGAACUGCCUUUGAUACUGGGUGUCUUGAGUGUGAGAGAGGUGAGUGGAACUCCGAGUGUAGAGGUGAAAUUCGUAGAUAUUCGGAAGAACACCAGUGGCGAAGGCGACUCACUGGCUCAUUACUGACGCUGAGGCUCGAAAGCGUGGGGAGCAAACAGGAUUAGAUACCCUGGUAGUCCAC